rnacentral:rRNA from 1 species
AUUGAACGCUGGCGGCAGGCCUAACACAUGCAAGUCGAGCGGAUGAAGGGAGCUUGCUCCUGGAUUCAGCGGCGGACGGGUGAGUAAUGCCUAGGAAUCUGCCUGGUAGUGGGGGAUAACGUCCGGAAACGGGCGCUAAUACCGCAUACGUCCUGAGGGAGAAAGUGGGGGAUCUUCGGACCUCACGCUAUCAGAUGAGCCUAGGUCGGAUUAGCUAGUUGGUGGGGUAAAGGCCUACCAAGGCGACGAUCCGUAACUGGUCUGAGAGGAUGAUCAGUCACACUGGAGCUGAGACACGGUCCAGACUCCUACGGGAGGCAGCAGUGGGGAAUGUUGGACAAUAGGCGAAAGCCUGAUCCAGCCAUGCCGCGUGUGUGAAGAAGGUCUUCGGAUUGUAAAGCACUUUAAGUUGGGAGGAAGGGCAGUAAGUUAAUACCUUGCUGUUUUGACGUUACCAACAGAAUAAGCACCGGCUAACUUCGUG